UGGCACUACUUCCAGCUGCUUGGGUGUUUCCUCCCUCCUCUGUUGGUUGCUGUUGUUGUGGUUCCAUUUGUUGCGGGGUUUGGAGCUCCAUUAGUUGCAGAGUUCGUGGCUCUUGGGUCAUGAGGUGAGAGGAUGUGAAUAUCGAGGAAUACAUGGUUUAGUGUUUGAGGGAGAUUUUGUUAGAAGGAUUGGAGUUGUUGAACUGGUGAUUGGAGAUCUGAGAUUCUCAGAGGAAAGAUGAAAUCGAAUCUUCAAAUGGGAGAGAAGAUCAGAAGAGAAGGAUUGAAAUUGAUGAAGAAAGGAUUUGAGUUUCGAGAGGAAGACUGCAGAGUUUGAGAGAGAAUGGCUGGGGAAAAUUUCUUUUCUUUGGUGUGAACAGUUUUUCUCCAGGAUGCACCUAUUUAUAGAACGAGGUGAGCAGAUCUCCACCGUUGGAUGGACGAUCUCUGAGAUUCAAUCUACGCGUUGGAUUAAAGUCAUCCGAAAACCCGGAAAAGUUGUUGGCGCGUGGAGAGCGUGUAAGGGGACAGGCCGAACCUCGAGACGCUGUGGCAGACAGCUUUAGCCGAAAGUGAUUUGCUUUCCGUAAAUCACGGAAGAGACGUGUCGUGGCACGUGGAGUGUACCGACAGUUUGUUGUUAUUCUAUCGCUUAUGAUAGAAUAAAUAAAAGAAGUUGCAUGGAUAGUAACGAGAGCAGCUGGUGCUCUAGUGGUUGAAGAGCAAGGCUCUUGUACAAGAGGUCAGAGGUUCGAACCUUGCCUCUCGUUUAUUUUUAUUAUGUUCGCUUAUGACAUAAUAAGUAUAACAUUUGUACACAUUAUAUUAAGCACAGCUUGUGCUCCAGUGGUUGGGGGAAAAAGGUUUCGUGCGGCAGGUUGAGGUUUCGAACCUUGCCUUCCCUGUUAUUUUAUUUAUGUCGCUUAUGACAUAAUAAAUAUAACACGUGAGCAUAUAUUAAUGAAGGCAGCUCUUGCUUCAGUGGUUGGGAGCAAAACCUUCGUGUUCGAGGUCGGGAGUUCGAACCUUACCUCUUACAAAUAUUUUUGGAUCUCGUAUAUGCUUGAUAUACGGACGUAUAUACGGUAUGUACGGUAUACAUACAUAUAUAUGGUCUGUACGGUAUGCAUACGUAUAUACAGUUGUACGAUAUGCAUACGUAUAUACGGUCUGUACGGUAUGCAUACAUAUAUACGGUAUACCUACGGUAUGUACAAUUUCAUACCGUAGCCGAGCUGGAAGUCGGUGGGCCGAUUGGUAGGCCCAAAUGUUAAGCCCAAUUGUUCGGCCCGAAUGGUAGGCCCAAAUGUUAAACCCAAAUUGGUUCGGGCCGGUUCGAAAUGUGAAUGGUUCGGUUUCUUCAGCCCAAUUGGCCAGCCCUAAUGCUUAGCCCAAGGAUUGAGCAAGCCCAAGUCAUCAUCACUGGGUGACAUGUUUUAUUGGCGUGCUUUUGAGAAUGAUUUGUUUUGAGUGAUGCAUCUCUAUUGUGGUGUAGAAUAGUGCAUGCUUAAGUUUUACUAUAGAGAUUUACCGUGAUGCUAAUGGAGUAGCGAAACGCUUUGUGGGAGUCUUUACUGUGCUUGUAUGCCAGUACAGGGUGAUGAUCUAUGUGAGGAUCUAUGAGAUAAUCUCUGUGAAGAUCUAAGUGAUGAUCUCUGUGAUGAUCCACGUGAUGAUUUUGUGUAAUUGAUGUGGAGUGAUGUUGAGCAGUUGUUUUGUGAAUUUACAUCGUGACGAAAGGAUUUAGUGGCCAUAGGAAUGUAUUUUUAUACAAAGGGCUGUGGCUUUGUAGAUUACUACAACUUUGGGAAUGAUGGAGAUUCGAUGGUUAGGUCAACCUUAAUCAAGAGGAAUUGACUUACGCUUAAAUUUCGGGACGAAAUUUCUUUAAGGAGGGUGGAUUGUAAUACCCCGAAAAAAAAUCUAAAUUAUUUUUCCGAGGACAUUUUAGAAAUGAUUUCGUGGUCAUGGGAGAAAGUAUGAAGCUUGGAGGAGUGGUGAAAUUGGUUCGAACAAUUUUUAUUCGAAAACUGAACGUUUUAGGGGAGGUCAAAGGAGUUGACUUUUUAUACGUUCAUAAUUGGGGAAAACUUCCUUCAUGAAAGUUGUAGAGCUCGUCGAUACGAUCUCGUGCAUAUGUGGUAUGCAAAAAUCAGAGUUCGUAUGAAUUAGUUAUGAUUUUUUUGAAAAAGUUUUCAGUUUAGUAUAAAGCUGCCAUUUUUGGAAAUUACCAAAAAUAAUUUCAGUUCCAUUUCUGGAAACCGAACUCUCUCUCUCUUGCGCGCGUCCGAGCCCAGAAAAAACAGAGCAAAGCUCUCCGGCCGAGUUCUCCCUCCUCCGGCCACCAAUCGACACCAGACCACCUCCCUUGCCUUCGCCUCGACGCCGCCUACCUGCUAGACGUGAUCACUUCCACCGGAACGGCCUCAAAUCCGGCAGUCGGAGCCGCAAACUUUGAAACAAAAAUCGGUCAACGCCGGUUUUCUCCUAGCUCCGGCCACCAAAACUCACGAUCCUUAGCUCCCUGAACUCGCCUCAACCUUCUGAUCAUCAUUCUAGAAGGAUCGCACCUGGAGUGAUCGGAUUCACGUUCGUCGGAGCUCGCCGGAUUCUGGAAAUUUUCCACCACCACCGAAGCUUUUGAUAGGAAUCGAAGCCUGGAAUUGAAGUUUUGACGUCGAAAUCAAGCCUUGCCGGAUUCUGCAAAAUUCUGGAAUUUUUCCGACCACCGAAGCUUUCGAUCGGUAUAUCUCGAGCUACAGACCAUAUUUUUCUGUGAUUCUUGAACCAGUGAGUUCUUCUUGAGUUUCUUAACAACUCUUCAGAAGGAAUCGAAGCCUUAAAUUGACGUUUUUACGUCGAAUUGGAGCUCGCCGUUUUCUGCAGUUUCUCGCCGGUUUCUGGAAAAUUCCGGCCACCUUCAUACUGUUCAAGGUGAUCGACGGUUUGAUUUGGCGGACGAUUCGUGAAAUUGUAUUUUGAGCUGUUAAGAAGACGCAGCGGGAAUUUAGAGCGGGUAAUCCUACAGGUCAGGAGAACCAGGACGGUGAUCGGGCUGCUUAGAGUAGUGUUAUGUGAAUUACAGCAUUAUAUUGUGAGGUUUGUUAUGCUCAUUUAGAGCUUUACGAUUUUACUUUGUAAGAGUGAAUUGUAAUAAUUAACUCGAGGUUUUCGAGUUUUGUGUUGA